CUGGGAGGAAGCUCUCCGAAGAGGCCACGUGCUGAGUGUCCGUCACUCUCGUUGCUCCUCUGGGAAGGUCUGAGAGAAGGGCCGCUAUUUCCGCCUUAGCAGGGCGCCACCUUCGGAAGGUGGGUGAGUUCCCAGCGAUACGGGCCUCCGGCAACGCCCCAGAUUGAGGCAGGAGAAGCGGGCACGGGAUUCACUCCUUCCCGCGGAUGCCUCCGCGGCCUGCUUGGGGUUUGGGAACGACUCACGGCCGGCAAAUAUGAGUACAAUGGGCAGAGGUGAAGCCAUGGCUUCAUAACCCAAUUCAGACUAGUCUCCACCCAG
rnacentral:RNase_P_RNA from 11 species